UCCCAGGAGACAGGACAUUCACAUCCUAUACAGAGGGGAGCACGUGUCUUGGUAACCCACACUGGUUUCAUCCAGACUAAAACUAAGUGGACAUCUCCAGGAAAUCUUGGAGAGGACAUUUCCAGGAAAUCUUGGGUAGAACAGGUUCUUGCAGACUGUCGAGAUCCUGUCACUUA